AUGGCUGCCGUGAGCGGCUAAGACGCCGUCGGCCAGGCGCUGCCUGUAACCGCCAUGUGGCGAAUGCUGCAUGGCGG
rnacentral:sRNA from 20 species